rnacentral:rRNA from 1 species
UACGGAGGGUGCAAGCGUUAUCCGGAUUCACUGGGUUUAAAGGGUGCGUAGGAGGGCAGGUAAGUCAAUGGUGAAAUCUCCAAGCUUAACUUGGAAACUGCCGUUGAUACUAUCUGUCUUGAAUACCGUGGAGGUGAGCGGAAUAUGUCAUGUAGCGGUGAAAUGCUUAGAUAUGACAUAGAACACCAAUUGCGAAGGCAGCUCACUACACAAUCAUUGACUCUGAGGCACGAAAGCGUGGGGAUCAAACAGG